AUGAGUAGCUCGUGCUCUUCGACAGCCGUGGUGGAUGAGGGUAAUGCCAAGAUGGCAGUGAGGGGGUGGGUCGGGUGGGAGGAGGAGAUCGUGAUGGAGGACAACGACGGCGAGGAGUGCAAGGUGUGCUACUUCCUCCGCUCCACGCCGCCCCAGGAUGGCGGUAAGAGCGAGAGGGAUCUGGCGGUGGUGGGUAAGUAUUGGGGACCUGGGAACAUAGCCUACUCGGCGGACUUGCAGUUCCUGCAGUCCCUCCAGACGGCGCUGGAGUCUGGGUCAGCGCCCGCUAGGGUGGUGACGGUGGCGAUGGAGACCACUCAGCUCAGGCAACUAGAAUUUUCAGCGUCCAUCUCCGACAGUCAAUCUGAAUAUCCUCCCUAUGGAGCCUUUGGAUUCACUUGUCCCGACAACCAUGAUGGUGCAUCUAAGGAUACCCUCUCAACACUUGCUGCUGCUGGGGAGAACAAAGAAGGGUUCACAUGGAUAUGCAAACUGCCCCAUCUUGAUCAACAUCGGAAGCAUUACAAAUCCUUUUGCCGAGAGGGAAUGAGAAUUUCGGUUCAUGAUUUUGUGUUCAUCAAGAGUGGAUGGAGAGAGAGCCAUGUUGCCUAUGUGGAAGACAUGUAUGAAGAUAGAGAUCUUGUUGGCUACGGGCUGCAAGAUCUGAGGGUUCAAUUUGUGGAGGGGGUGGCCGCGGUCCUGAAUCCACAACACUUUGACAUGUUCAACAAAAUAAGUGGAGGGCACAGCAGCUGGCAGCCCUAUGUAUGCAGUCGACAGAUCGAAGAUGACAUUGUCGGACCCUUCGACAUCACGCAGCUGCAAGGAUAUGCAAACCAGGAGAUCGUAAAGGCAAUUGUUGCCGCAUCCUCGUCCACGGCGGUGCAGGCCAAGCCACCCAAUAACAAAGGUAAAGCUAAAAUUACUGGCAUGGCCGCCGAGAACCAUGCUGGUUCUUCCGGCACUGUCUUUGGUGAACAAACCAUGCAGAAGCAGAAGCCACCUGCAUGCAAUGCAACUCCUUUCAGUUCCAGCUUUAUUAUUGGUGACAAAACCAUGGAGAAGCAGAAGCAGAAGUCUCCUCCAUGCAGCGCAACUCCUUCUAGCUAUGUUAUUAGUGACAAGACCAUGGAGAACUCUGUUAUCAUUGAUAAAACCAUGGAGAAGCAAAAGCAGGAGCAGAAGGAGAUGCCCCCUCCAUGCACUGCAACUCCACAAAGUCACCACCACGCAGAAUCAGCCGCCACCAAGUGGUACUGGAGGAGGGAGAAAGAUAACAAGGUCAGGGUGCGGUACCAAGACCUUUCGAAUUUUGAGGAUAAAGGACAACUCAAGGAAUGGCUCAAAGUUGCAAGAAUUACGGAACCUGACCACCUAGGCAUACGCCUUACUGAAAGGCCCAUGCUCCGCCCACAACUCCCAACAUGCUAUAGGAAGAUCGAGUCUCCAAUAGCUGUCGGGGUCAUCGUCGACGCGUGGCUAAAUGGCGGAUGGUGGGAGGGGAUCGUGCUGCAGCAGGACAAUGUUGGUGACGUCCUAGUUUAUCUCCAAGGGGAGGGGAGACUUGUGGAGCUCAAAGUAGACUCUCUGCGAAAGUCAUUUGAGUGGCGUGAGGAGCAAUGGAUACCUCUAGAUGCAAGAAAAGAUGUUGCAGACAAGAUAACCCUAUACCUGAAGAAGCAGAAGGGCAUCCGGCAAUCUGCAAUGAAGAAGGAUGGUGGGAGCUCUUCCAAACAGAAGGCUCAGAAGAUGGGUGAGAAAUCUAGCCAGACGGUGGCGGCCGCAGCACUCACAGCCGCAGAGCUGGCCGCACCAAGCCCAGGACUGUUGCAGCCUCGGGAGGAAAGUGAUGAUGAAACUGCAAACUCUACUCUUCCACGGAAGAGGUUCCUGGACCAGGGCUACUCUUUCAAGGAAAAAACACUGGAGGAGCGGGCUAAAAAGAGCAAGGGUCCUACUGAUGAAGCUGCAACGCCAAUUACAGAGGAGGGAGAUGGUAUGUCCCACAUCGAUAGUUCACCUGAUGCCAAGCGGUGCCGGGUUGAUCCUACAAACUUUGAUGGCCCGAAUGGCGCUAAACCCAAGGGUAAGGCUAGAAAAUCUUCUCGCGCAAAGAAAAUGGGGUCUUUGGAGGGCAGUAUCCACGGAGGCACCAGUGGCUCUGCCUCUACUAGAUGCGCUGCGUCAGUGAACACGGUGCCUAUGGAGGAUAUAUGUAUAACAAGUGGAGCGGCUCCUAUCGUCGCUAUGGACAAAUCGGAGGUGAUCGACCUGACCAUGUAUGGCUGA
rnacentral:rRNA from 1 species